rnacentral:tmRNA from 1 species
ACCAUUAAAGGCAAACAAAGAAGAUUGUAAUAAAAUCACAAAGAAUUAAUCGUUGAUGGUAGGGUAAUAAACGGACUGGACUUGGGUGCAACUCCCAACACCUCCACCAUAAACACAUUAGAGGAGAGUAUACUAUGUUUAAAUAUAUUAAAUCUUUAUGGCAAUUGUGCAUUAAAGAAAAUAUAGUUAGAGAACUAAAUCAAGAUGGUUCUAAACAUAGACUUCAUACGCUGAAACCAGAUGGUAAAUUCAGAUAUGAAGACCUUUGUCAAUAAUGUUUUUAUGGGGGGUGUGUUAGGAUUGACAGACGAGUAAAGACUACAGGAGAUUAAUAGUUGGCGAACUUAAACGCAUUAUAAACGGCGAAGGAGACUUAGCCCUUGCUGCCUAAUUACUAGGCAACGGAGUUUGUGGUGUACUUGGCAACAGAAACACCACAUC